GACGAACGCUGGCGGCGUGCUUAACACAUGCAAGUCGAACGGAAAGGCCCUGCGUUUGUGGGGUGCUCGAGUGGCGAACGGGUGAGUAACACGUGAGUAACCUGCCCUUGACUUUGGGAUAACUUCAGGAAACUGGGGCUAAUACCGGAUAGGAGCUCCUGCUGCAUGUUGGGGGUUGGAAAGUUUCGGCGGUUGGGGAUGGACUCGCGGCUUAUCAGCUUGUUGGUGGGGUAGUGGCUUACCAAGGCUUUGACGGGUAGCCGGCCUGAGAGGGUGACCGGCCACAUUGGGACUGAGAUACGGCCCAGACUCCUACGGGAGGCAGCAGUGGGGAAUAUUGCACAAUGGGCGGAAGCCUGAUGCAGCAACGCCGCGUGCGGGAUGACGGCCUUCGGGUUGUAAACCGCUUUCGCCUGUGACGAAGCGUGAGUGACGGUAAUGGGUAAAGAAGCACCGGCUAACUACGUG
rnacentral:rRNA from 1 species